CUAGACAAGUUAAUUGUGUUCCCAAACAACUUAACUGUGUUCCUAGACAACUGUGUUCCUAGACAAGUUAACUGUGUUCACAGACAACUUAACUGUGUUCCUAGACAACUGUAUUCCUAGAUAAGUUAACUGUGUUCCUAGACAAGUUAACUGUGUUCACAGACAAUUUAACUGGGUUCCUAGACAAGUUAACUGUGUUCCCAAAUAACUUAACUGUGUUCCUAAAUAACUGUGUUCCUAGACAAGUUAACUGUGUUCACAAACAACUUAACUGUGUUCCUAGACAAGUUAACUGUGUUCCCAAAUAACUUAACUGUGUUCCUAAACAACUGUGUUCCUAGACAAGUUAACUGUGUUCACAGACAACUUAACUGUGUUCCUAGACAAGUUAACUGUAUUCCUAGACAAGUUAACUGUAUUCACAGACAACUUAACUGUGUUCACAGACCUGGGGUCGACCCCUGCUCACCUGGAGUUGACCCCUUAACAGCACGAGUCGACCCCUGCUCACCUGGAGUCGACUCUCUCAGGCUUUCCAGAGAGCUGUUUUUCUGCCUGAUUUCAGGGGUCGACUCCAGCUCUUUAGGGGUCGACCCCAGCUCUUCAGGGGUCGACCCCAGCUCAGCAUAAGUCUACAAUAAUUUUCAAAUAACACUUAACUGUGUGCACAGUUCUAUUUACUGUGUUCGCAGACAAAAUAAUUAUGUUCCGAAAUAAAUAACUGUGUGCACAGUCUAAAUAAUUGUGUUCCGAGGUAGAAUAAGUGUGUUCCAGGAUGAUUUAACUGUGUUCCAAGCUUAUUUAACUAUGUGUCAUCCUAGAUUAAGUGUGUUCCAAACUUAUUUAACUGUGUGUCAUCCUAGAUUAAGUGUGUUCUAAAGUCCGUUGGUUCCCUCGGUGGGAUUAGUUCCAACAACCCCUACGGACUUAACCGAAUACUACCUGAACCAACUAGAUCUCCGCCUUUAAACUUAUUUAACUGUGUUCCAAGCUUAUUUAACUUUAUUUUUAUUUUUUCUUUUUUUUCUUCUAUUCUUCCCUUCUU
rnacentral:lncRNA from 1 species